rnacentral:rRNA from 1 species
UACUAGGUUCCGUAGGUGAACCUGCGGAAGGAUCAUUA